rnacentral:rRNA from 1 species
UACAGAGGUCCCAAGCGUUGUUCGGAUUCAUUGGGCGUAAAGGGCGUGUAGGCGGUAUGUUAAGUCAUGUGUGAAAUCCCUCGGCUCAACCGGGGAACGACGCAUGAAACUGGCAAGCUAGAGUACCAAAGAGGGUGGUGGAAUUCCCGGUGUAGCGGUGAAAUGCGUAGAUAUCGGGGAGGAACACCUGUGGCGAAGGCGGCCACCUGGUUGGAUACUGACGC